rnacentral:misc_RNA from 1 species
AAGUCGUAACAAGGUUUCCGUAGGUGAACCUGCGGAAGGAUCAUUACAGUAUUCUAUUGCCAGCGCUUAAUUGCGCGGCGAUAAAACCCUUACACACUUUGUUUUUUAUUAUUAAAGACACCAUUGCUUUGGUGGAUGAGUGUAAAAGCUUGUCCGCCAGAGGUUAACUAAACUCAAUUAUUUAAAGGUAACUUUUUAAAUUGUCAAUAAUAAUUUGCCUGAUUAAUUUCGGAGAAAACAAAAUAUUUAAAA